rnacentral:rRNA from 1 species
AGAGUUUGAUCAUGGCUCAGGACGAACGCUGGCGGCGUGCUUAACACAUGCAAGUGGUGCGACGAACCAGGGCUUGCCCUGGGGCAAAGCCGCGAACGGGUGAGUAACACGUGAGUAACCUGCCCCGAUGACCGGGACAACCCGAGGAAACUCGGGCUAAUACCGGAUGUGGCGCACAGAUCUAAGUCUGUUCGCUAAAGGAAGCUUCGGCCUCCGCAUUGGGAGGGGCUCGCGGCCCAUUAGCUUGUUGGUGGGGUAACGGCCUACCAAGGCAACGAUGGGUAGCUGGUCUGAGAGGACGAUCAGCCACACUGGGACUGAGACACGGCCCAGACUCCUACGGGAGGCAGCAGUGGGGAAUCUUGCGCAAUGCGCGAAAGCGUGACGCAGCAACGCCGCGUGGGGGAAGACGGCCUUCGGGUUGUAAACCCCUUUCAGGAGGGACGAAGGUUCACCGGUGAAUAGCCGUGUGGAUUGACGGUACCUCCAGAAGAAGCUCCGGCUAACUACGUGCCAGCAGCCGCGGUAAUACGUAGGGAGCAAGCGUUGUCCGGAAUCAUUGGGCGUAAAGCGCGCGUAGGCGGCCCUGUAAGUCCGUUGUGAAAGUCAAAGGCUCAACCUUUGAAAGCCGAUGGAUACUGCAGGGCUAGAGUCCGGAAGAGGCGAGUGGAAUUCCCGGUGUAGCGGUGGAAUGCGCAGAUAUCAGGAGGACCACCAAUAGCGAAGGCAGCUCGCUGGGACGGUACUGACGCUAAGGCGCGAAAGCGUGGGGAGCGAACAGGAUUAGAUACCCUAGUAGUCC